rnacentral:rRNA from 1 species
UACAGAGGUGGCAAGCGUUGCUCGGUAUCACUGGGCUUAAAGGGCGCGUAGGCUGUGCGGCACGGUUCGGGUGAAAUCCCUCGGCUCAACCGAGGAACUGCCCGGGCUACGGCCGCACUCGACUGCAUCAGGGGAAGAUGGAACUCCCGGUGGAGCGGUGAAAUGCGUAGAUAUCGGGAGGAACGCCGGCGGCGAAAGCGAUCUUCUGGGGUGCUAGUGACGCUGAGGCGCGAAAGCCAGGGGAGCAAACGGG